rnacentral:rRNA from 1 species
AGCGAACGCCGGCGGCAGGCUUAACACAUGCAAGUCGAACGCCCCGCAAGGGGAGUGGCAGACGGGUGAGUAACACGUGGGAACGUACCCUUUGGUUCGGAAUAACUUGGGGAAACUCAAGCUAAUACCGGAUAAGCCCUUAUGGGGAAAGGUUUACUGCCGAAGGAUCGGCCCGCGUCUGAUUAGCUAGUUGGUGAGGUAAUGGCUCACCAAGGCGACGAUCAGUAGCUGGUCUGAGAGGAUGAUCAGCCACACUGGGACUGAGACACGGCCCAGACUCCUACGGGAGGCAGCCGUGGGGAAUAUUGGACAAUGGGGGCAACCCUGAUCCAGCCAUGCCGCGUGAGUGGUGAAGGCCUUAGGGUUGUAAAGCUCUUUUACCCGGGACGAUAAUGACUGUACCGGGAGAAUAAGCCCCGGCUAACUUCGUGCCAGCCGCCGCCGUAA